CUUUUAGGAGCUAGCCGUCUAAGGUGGGACAGAUGAUUAGGGUGAAGUCGUAACAAGGUAGCCGUAGGAGAACCUGCGGCUGGAUCACCUCCUUU
rnacentral:rRNA from 1 species